GGGGGCAUAGCUCAGCUGGGAGAGCGCUUGAAUGGCAUUCAAGAGGUCAGCGGUUCGAUCCCGCUUGUCUCCA
rfam:Desulfotomaculum nigrificans CO-1-SRB chromosome, complete genome.